UACAGAGGUCUCAAGCGUUGUUCGGAUUCAUUGGGCGUAAAGUGUGCGCAGGCGGCUCCGCAAGUCGAGUGUGAAAUCCCCGAGCUUAACUUGGGAAUUGCGCUCGAAACUACGGAGCUGGAGUGUGGCAGAGGAAGGUGGAAUUCCACGUGUAGCGGUGAAAUGCGUAGAUAUGUGGAGGAACACCGAUGGCGAAGGCAGCCUUCUGGGCCAACACUGACGCUCAUGCACGAAAGCGUGGG
rnacentral:rRNA from 1 species